CUUAGGAAAUAAUGAAAAAAAAAAUGGAAACAAGAAAGUCUAGCAGUUCCAGUUCUUAAACUAUACAAUAAAGUAGUGAUUCUCAAAACAAAUUGGUGCCAGACCAAAAAAAAAAAAAAAAAACAGAAAUGGAUAAGUAAAUAUAUCUAAUGUGCUAGGAUUCAACAAGUUAUUUUAUGAAAACUGCUGGGAAAAUUAGACAUCGGUAUGGAAGUAAUUAGAUUAAGAUCAAUGCCUGAUAUCACAUACCAAGAUAAACUGUAAAUGCGUAAGUGACCUAGAUAUAAAAGGUAAUCUUAUAAACAAGUGAGAAAAACAUGGGACAAUUACAUAUUAGACCAACAAAGUGUAGAAAAGUACAGGACUUUCAAACAAAGCUGUAAAGAAAAUCAUAAAAGAUAAAAUGAAUAAUUUUGAUUACAAAAAAAUUAAAGUUUUUUUUUCCAUAAACAAAUCCCAUAUUAAAAGGGAAAAAAUUAUCUGGAAGAAAAUUGUAGCAGCGACUUUCUCUGAUAAAGGUCUCUUUUCCAAGAUAUACAAGGAACUGAUUCAAAUAUAUAAAAAUAUGAGCUAUUAUCUAUAUCUAAGGAAAUAAUCAGUGAAGAAAAGUAGCUUACCUAUAACCACAUGAAAAAAUUCUCCAAAAAAUUACUUAUUAGAGAAGUCCAUAUUAAAGCCUUUUGGACUUCACCUCACAUCUAUUAGUUGGACAAAGAUGACAUAAAAAAAUGGCAACUAUUGGUGGAGUUGUGAAUAGGUAGAAUAAUUCUAAUUUGAAAAAAAAGUUAUUAAAACAUUCUAAUGCUUAUAAAUGUGGAAAUACGUAUAGAAAAAUUGUAUAUGAUUAAUAUUUAUUGGAUUACUUGCUUUUUAGGGGAGGGGAAGGGGAAGAAUGGAGAAAAUUUUGGAACACAAGGUUUUGCAAAGGUGAAUGUUGAAUACUGUCUUUGCAUAUAUCUUGGGGGGAGAAAGUUAUUAUUUGAAAAAAAAAAGAAAAAAAUAGUCUAAUACUAAGCCUCUAGCCAAAGGAGAUUUUUAAAAAUAGGAAAUGGUCUUAUAUGUAGAAAAAUACUUAGAGCAUCUUUUUUGUUAUUGUUGUUGGCAAAAGACUGAAAAUUAAAGAAAU
rnacentral:lncRNA from 1 species